ensembl:lncRNA
AAAAGUUUUCCUUUUCACCUUUUAGGUGAAUUCCGUUUUUUUUUUUCGUUUUCGUUUUGCCUCAUUAGAUUGAUGGCUUAAAAUUUGUGAAUAAUAUGUGCCACAAGUGACCCAAACCUUCUAAGGUUGUUGUUUGCCAGACAUCAACAGAACAGAAGACUAAAACAUUAUUAGCAGGCGAUUGGGAAGAUGAGCGAAUUAAUUUUACAGGCCGUUGGACAGGGGGGCGUGGCCAGAGUGGAGUUCAGCACAGAUGUGACAUUUUCUUUGUUUUUUAAUGAAUGCUUGUUCAUCAUUGCGAUCGUUGUUGUGUUUAUUAGAAAGAAAUACAGCCUUGCAGGGCAAAAUACAGGGGAAUUUGGGCGAUUUUGAUGCACAAAAUGAUGUUUCCGUCUAAAAGUUGCAAUUCUGUUUCAAAGGGUAGGCUAAUUCCGUCCGUUUUCCGUUAUCGCGGAAAUCUUCUCCCCGCGUACCCCCUGAACCACUUCCCAGUUUGGGAAACGAUGUUCUAAUAGAUGUCACUUAAAAUAACACACUGUCCCUUUAAUUUUAUCACUUGUUUUUUCAUGCAGAGAAUACUUUUCAAAGUGAAAUUUAUAAUUAAUUUAAUUUAUUACAAAUUGAGGACAUUAAAAUUGUUCUUAUUUUAAAAAAAAACUUUGUCAAGAGUUUAACACAUUUAGUUUGUCUCAUUAUAAAUGGACACAUGUUCAUAACAUGUCAGAAAUAAAAAGCAUAAUUGUUCUUACGUUCAUGACGUUCAACUCUCCAACCCACAUUAAAUAUUCUUAAAAGCAAACUCUUCUAACAAAUACUUUAUGAUUUGUGGUAAGAGAAAGUUCUCCAAUUCAAUUAAAUUCAAUUCAAAUUAAGCAACAGAAAAAAAACGUAAAUCAUGCAUAGCAUUACUUCAGGUAGGCCAUAGUAGUCUGCUGAUUCACCAACACCAACCACAGUUGCCCUCUAAAAUAAGGAGGGUGAUUUGAAGAUAAGCCCCACUGCGAAUCCUAUCCACCCUCACCUCUUUUAAAGCAGCAAUAAGAAGUUUUGGUCUAAACAUUAGCGAGCCAACGACCUACAAGGCAUGCAAAAACUUUACAAACAACGCCAACAGCUCAGUUGCCACUGUGACUUCUAACAUGCUAACUUGUAUCUUUAGUUGAUAUACCGGUAGUUACCCUAGUUUCUACUGUAGAAACUUGUCUUUUCGCUGGGGUUUUCGGACAGGACACAGAACUAUAUACUAAAUAUCCUGAAUGGCUAGUUUAAUUGACUAGACACCAUGACAAAACAAGCUGCCUAUGAAAAAGUACCUCAAAUAUUGGCAAAUUGUUACAUAAUGCUGUAAGUGUUUCAGUUGUUGUGCAGUAUGUCUUUUUUCUGUAAUAUCAUGUUGACUAUUAUAGGUUGCGAUGGUUGUUAUUUAACACUUUCCUCCUAUUUCCAACCACAUAAUUUCCCAAGCUCUGUACAUGCACAGUGGAUGUGUUUCUGGGAGAUUUAUGUGGGCUAAUAGUGGACUUGUGUACCACUUUGCCAAGAAAUUAGUGAAUGUCGUGUCUAUAUAUAUCCAAAUCAAUUUAACAGCUUUUGUGAAUUUGGUUUCCUGUCCCCAUGCCAGAAAAUGAUUUCAAAAUUGAAAGUUUACAGCAAGAGGGAAUUUCCUCUCAGUUGCUGCAAUAAAAAAUGUAAUAGUAUCUAGCUGUUAUUAGCAACUACGUUUGUUCCCUGGCAAGAAUAUGGCACAUCACAUACAGGAAAUUUGUCAUAAAUGUUUAUAAAGUCUACAUUAUACUGUCUUAACCAAACAACAAUCAUUUGCACUGGAAUUACCAAACACUCAACACUUUUGGUCCUUUGUUUAAUUGAAACUUUGCGAUGUUAGUUUUAUACAGGUUUAUAAUAGAACAAUACCUUGACCAUAAUGUAAUAUUGGUUGUACUCUGGGCAAGAAGCAGUAAACAACAUAUUGUGGUUGUAUUUGGUCAUGGCAGUAUAUAAGGCUUCAAAAAGUGUGUAAUAUCAAACAACGUCUACACAGAAGUGAGGUUUAUUAAAUGGCACUUUUAUGAGAAUGUGUCUAAAAUAAGCAGGCCCUACUGAUUAAGUAGCGCAGAUGAUCACAUGUGGCAGGUAUAUGUUUUAUUUUCUUCCUGUAGCGCGUGUCGACGGCAGUGUGGCCAGAGGCAACCAAGUUACUUAAGGGGAUUUCCAUCUAUUAGAGGCCACAGGGCGUGACUGUGCCAGGUGGAGUUUCCACCAAGUCAAGCAUUUGGCUUCAGCAAGUUGAGGUUAGGCAGCCCUGGAGUCACAGCUCCCUCGACGAAGAAUUAGGUCUCCUGGCCGAGUCCCUUCUGAAUAAAGAAUCAUCCUUUUAAAAUGGAGAAUCAUUUAUUGACGGUAAUUAACUUUUUGUUUUAUUAUGCCGUUUGUGUUCAUUGUUAAACAUGUGAAACCGAUACACCAAAAGCUGAAGUUUUGCUUUCACUUUUUCCCUAUGAGCUUGUGACGGCGAUGGACACAAAACUAUGAGGGGCCGUGAGGGACAUUAUUCAGAAUACCCUCUCACACACACAACUGAAAAGCUCUCACACACACAUAUGAAAUGCUCUCACACACACUACUGAAAAACUAUACGCUCACACACACAACUGAAAUGCUCUCACACACACUACUGAAAAGCUCUCACACACACUACUGAAAAGCUCUCACGCACACAUAUGAAAUGCUCUCACACACACUACUGAAAAGCUCUCACACACA